UCACACACAAACUCACAUUUACACACAACUCAGUUUCGCACUAGCACAGUUGUAAAAAAACAAAAUUGAACGACAUGUAAAAAGCACUUGGUAUACUCAUAUACACCAUCAACACAUUCUAUUCACACAAACACACACACACGUGUGUAAAUGCGACUUACAAAACCAAACAGGUCUUAACAUGGUUACAUGGUUGGUUAUAACGCUACCUUUGGCCAUCACGGUACACCUGUCAUGUUGAUCUAGACCUAUCUCAGAUUUCAUGGUGUGUGUUAGGCAAGCUCAAAUUAGGCCUUGGUCUGGGUGGGUUCACUCUGUGACACAGUUCAGCUGCUGUAGUCACGGCAACAGGUAAUCUGCAUUUCCCUUUGUCAGUUUGAUUACUCUAUUUGACUCAGGGCCGUGUGUGUGUGUUUGUGUUGUAAGGGGUGGGGCGAGGUCGGGCAUUGAUCAGCUCAUCCUGACAGACCUGUCCAUCAAGCCUGAUCCCUUUAUUCCUGCAUUGAAGUAGCAUAGCAUCUCUCAGAUCCCUCCACCAGAACACAAGAAGUGUGUCACUUGUGUAUCUGACGUUUUGUAUUUCAGUUAUGCUGCUAUACUGAACAAAAAUAUUACUGCAACAUGUAAAGUGUUGGUCCCAUGUUUCAUGAGUUAAAAUAAAAGAUACCAGAGAUGUUCUAUACACACAAAAAGCGUAUUUCUCUCAAAUGUUGUGCACAAAUUUGUUUACAUCUCUGUUAGUGAGCAUUUCUCCUUUGCCAAGAUAAUCCAUCCAAUGGACAGGUGUGACAUAUCAAGAAGCUGAUUAAACAGCAUGAUCAUUACACAGGUGCACCUUGUGUUGGGGACAAUAAAAGGCCACUCUAAAAUGUGCAGUUUUGUUACACAACACAAUGCCACAGAUGUCUCAAGUUUUGAGGGAGCGUGCAAUUGUCAUGCUGAAUGCAGGAAUGUCCACCAGAUUGGUUGCCAGAUAAUUUUAUGUUAAUUUCUCUAACACAAGCUGCCUCCAAUGUCAUUUUAGAGAAUUUGGCAGUAUGUCCAACCGGCCUCAUAACCGCAGACCACAUGUAACCACGUCAGCUCAGGACCUUCACAUCUGGCUUCUUCACCUGUGGGAUCGUCUGAGACCAGCCACCCGGACAGCUGAUGAUAUACAGUACAGUACAUGUUCCCUGAAAGUUUGUAAUGUCAUCUGGUGGUUUGUGGAAGUCUGUCUGAAUGGUUGUCUUAAGGUCUCCUUAGGGUUUGUGGGAGGUUGUGGGAGGUUUUGUUCUGAUUUGCAGCCAGCAUGGCCUGCAGGAAGUGACUGCCUUUGUUCCUUUAAAUUGUCCCUUUGUUGUGUUUCUCUCGCCACUGAAUAGUGUCUCUGUGCAGCUGACUGAUAAAGCCUCUGAAACACCCACUGAUGUCCUUCUGACAUAUUCUCAACCACAUCUUAUUUAGUCAAAUAUGUCACAUUGUAAUUGAGGUCAUUCAGAAGCAGGAUUGUUUUGUCAACAAUUUUACAAAGAAACAUUCUACAGACAUUCUAUUUACAAACAAUAAGGAAAAGCAAUGACAAGAGCAAUGAUUUUCUAAAUGAGACAUUUUUACAGCAGUGUGGUAAUUCUAGUUUACAAGGUCUGUCAACUUCAGGGAUGUAUAUUCAUGGAUAUUAAAACGUUAAUGUCAUGAUUAGAGUGAAACAUAUCCCAUCAAGUCGCCCAGUUGUGUUUGAACAGAAGUGUGACUUCCCUGAAGACUUAGUUGUUCCUCUGGGAUACAGAAGGCUAUUCUACCUGACACAGAAACACUGAAACACUGAGUAGCUAACAUCAAACCUUGGGUAGAGGGGCCCAGUGAAUGUAGAGUGGAAUGUGUGUAUGUCAGAGUAGACGUCAGAAUUUAGUAACCCUUCAACAAUCAAUCACUUUUUAUAAGUAUGUUUAUAACAGAAAGGUCUUAAUAAAUAAAUAAAUAAAUUAGACACUUGUGCAGAACUGAUUGUUUGAGUAGUGGCUAAUGAGUCGAUUAUUAAUUAAUGAAUGCAAUUAUUAGAAACUUGUGCAGACCUGAUUAUUCGAGGAGGAGCUAAUGAGUCGAGUCCCUGGGACCGGUCAAGUGUCUCUGUGAAAUAAGACCAGCAUGUUGGUGUGGCACACUGAACAUGACCCUUCACUUUCUCUCCCUGAUCUCGUGUCCUCCUCUCCUUCCUCCAGGGAAGAAUGCCCCCUUUCAUUGAGGAUUUCAAGUUAAAGGCUAACCGGAGUACUGAAGGCAAUGUCUUCAGAAGGCAGGAUCCCCAAUUAUAGUCAAAGAGCGGCGCUCCAGCUGGAGGUCAAUGAUGAUGACAGGUGUCCUUGAGCUCCCGAUGCUCUGUGUGUUCUGGAAGAGCAGGUGCUGCUAGGAGAACACCGAAAGGGCCCUCUACAGUGUUUCCAGAGCGGCGCUCCAGCUGGGGGUCGGAAGUCAAUGAUGAUGACAGGUGUCCUUGAGCUCCAGAUGCUCUGUGUGUUCUGGAAGAGCAGGUGCUGCUGGUAGAACACCGAAAGCUGUAGAGGAUGACCUGAUCCAGUCCAGUUAUCCAGCUGGAGAUGAUGCUGACCUGGUCCAGGUCCAGUCAUUGGCAGCUGUUCUGACGGUCAACCAGCAGGGGGCACUGCUCUCCAUACACUGCAUUGGAUCAGAGCUGGACUACAGAGAGCAAGAGAAAAAGAGAUAGUGAUGAAUUACUAUACAAAUAUUUAUCCCACAUUAGAUUAAUCUUGACUCCAUUUAUGAUAAAGAAAACUUAAAUAUUGUUACAUGUAAUGUUAUGCAGUAAUAUAAAAUGGUUAAUAAUACUAUUCUCCAGAGAUGAACAGUUCAUUUACUUACCCUCUGUGUUUGAAAUGAAACCAUUCAUCAUUCUAGAUCUCAUCUCAAAUGUUUUUCUCUCCAGAAAACAAAAUAAGAGCUGGUAAGCUAACUCCCUUAUAUCUUAUUUUCAUCUAUUUUCUAUCUUCCAAAAUCUCCUGCUUAGAUCAGCCAACCACAACAUGCUCAUGUGGUUUCCUAUGUACACUACCAUUCAAAAGUUUGGGGUCACUUAGAAAUUUCAUAAGUGAAGGCUAUUCCGGAAAUUAAGGCUAUUCCAUGCUAGAAAUUGCCAAGAAACUGAAGAUCUCGUACAACGUACUACUCCCGUCACAGAACAGCGCAAACUGGCUCUGACCAGAAUAGAAAGAGAGGUGGGAGGCCCCUGUGCAAAACUGAGCAAGAGGACAAGUACAUUAGAGUGUCUAGUUUGAGAAAGAGUACCCGCAAAACACCAGUCUCAACAGCAACAGUGAAGAGGCGACUCCGGGAUGUUGGCCUUCUAGGCAGAGUUGCAACAAAAAAGCCAUAUCUCAGACUGGCCAAUAAAAAGAAAAGAUAGAGAUGGGCAAAAGAACACAGACACUGGACAGAGAAACUCUGCCUAGAAGGCCAGCAUCCCUGAGUCACCUCUUCACUGUUGACGUUGAAAAUGUUUUGCGGCGCGGAACACACGGAGACGUCAAAGUGUGUUUCAAAAAUCAUCAAAGACUAAUUAUUUUUGACUAGAAAUACAUAACGUUACCAAUUAGUUACCCUGACCAAAUGGACAGCGCACAUAGGCUGUAUUUGUCUUGUUUUCAUCCCAUACAGCAUGUUAGAUGUCUAAUGUUUAGGUGUAGCCUAGGCUGCUACAGCAUUUAUGUAAUGAGCUCUUUCUUGUGUCUGUCUGGAGUGAUUAUGUGUUAUCAUCUUUGCUAAAUAAAUACCGGA